rnacentral:rRNA from 1 species
UACGAAGGGGGCUAGCGUUGUUCGGAAUUACUGGGCGUAAAGGGCGCGUAGGCGGCGUGUCAAGUCAGGCGUGAAAGCCCCGGGCUCAACCUGGGAACCGCGCUUGAGACUGGCAUGCUCGAGUUCGGGAGAGGAUGGUGGAAUUCCCAGUGUAGAGGUGAAAUUCGUAGAUAUUGGGAAGAACACCGAUGGCGAAGGCAGCCAUCUGGACCGACACUGACGCUGAGGAGCGAAAGCGUGGGGAGCAAACGGGG